rnacentral:rRNA from 1 species
GACGAACGCUGGCGGCGUGCUUAACACAUGCAAGUCGAACGCUGAUGGCCCAGCUUGCUGGGUUGGAUGAGUGGCGAACGGGUGAGUAACACGUGAGUAACCUGCCCUCUUCUUUGGGAUAACGGUCGGAAACGGCUGCUAAUACCGGGUAUUCACUGUCCUUCGCAUGGGGGGUGGUGGAAAGGUUUUUUCUGGUGGGGGAUGGGCUCGCGGCCUAUCAGCUUGUUGGUGGGGUGAUGGCUUACCAAGGCUUUGACGGGUAACCGGCCUGAGAGGGUGACCGGUCACAUUGGGACUGAGAUACGGCCCAGACUCCUACGGGAGGCAGCAGUGGGGAAUAUUGCACAAUGGGCGAAAGCCUGAUGCAGCGACGCCGCGUGAGGGAUGGAGGCCUUCGGGUUGUAAACCUCUUUCGCUCAUGGUCAAGCCGCAACUCAAGGUUGUGGUGAGGGUAGUGGGUAAAGAAGCACCGGCUAACUACGUGCCAGCAGCCGCGGUAAUACGUAGGGUGCGAGCGUUGUCCGGAAUUAUUGGGCGUAAAGGGCUUGUAGGCGGUUUGUCGCGUCUGCCGUGAAAUCCUCUGGCUUAACUGGGGGGCGUGCGGUGGGGUACGGGCAGGCUUGAGUGCGGUAGGGGAGACUGGAACUCCUGGUGUAGCGGUGGAAUGCGCAGAUAUCGGAAGAACACCGGUGGCGAAGGCGGGUCUCUGGGCCGUUACUGACGCUGAGGAGCGAAAGCGUGGGGAGCGAACAGGAUUAGAUACCCUUGUAGUCCAAGGGCGAAUUCCACAGUGGAUAUCAAGCUUAUCGAUACCGUCGACCUCGAGGGGCGGGCCCGGUACCCAGCUUUUGUUCCCUUUAAUGAGGGGUUUAAUUACAGCCGCUCUCAAUUCGACAGAAUACGGAGCGGAGCAGAACGUUAACGCUCGGGCGCCGAUGGAGGUGUUAUUCUCCGUAUUGCUGGCGGCACCCGGCCCCGUUUUCAGUCAGGAACACGUACAGUGCCGCUCGCUUCGUGAGCCCCCCACCCAUGAGAAGGACGGUUAUGGUUAGGGUCGCCUCUCUUUCAUUACCGUACUUGAUCCUCGGCGCCCGGGUCG